rnacentral:lncRNA from 1 species
GAGGACGGCUGAGGGGGAGGAGUGAUGAGAAGAGGGGGUACCCUACAUCCCCCAAUUCCGCGGGCCCCUGCUACCACUCUCCAGGCGCCCUUUCUCCCCAGCAAGGCGCAGGUGUUCCACACCAAUUCUUGUGACUUUAAGGACCAGGCAACUGAGAAAGUACAAGAUCCUCUCAAGAAGGGAAGACAUCUCUGGGAGAGAGAGGAAAGAUAGCAGACACUGGGACCAGCUGAGCCCAGCCACGGUGCUGUGAGAAGCUGAAGCCACCCAGCAGGAGUGAGAAGAAACCCUGGCCUCAGAUUGAGGCUUCGUUCUCAACGAUCUGAACUCAUUCAGCUUUUCCCAAGAGAGGGCUGCAGCAUCAGGCACUCCAGACUCAGGUUGAGCUCUUCUGCUCCUGCUCUGAGGAGCUGGCCACUGAGAACCAAAGAUUGCCCCUGGCACAACACAGAGCUGCUGGGAGCAGGCACCCACUACCCAUAGAGGCAGCUGCUGCAUCUGGUGAGGACUUUGUUUCCUUCCAGCUCCAGGCUGCAUUGCUUGAUGGGGCUGUCUUUUGGUAGAUCAGUUUUUACAGUGCCCGGUAGGAGUGGAGAGCCGUGGGAAGAGGUCUUGCGGCAAUCAAGCCUGGGUUCACCCCAAGACUAAGUUCUUUCCCAAGUCAGAGUCG